UCCUCGUUUUUAUACCGUGCAAGCCCCCAAUAUCUUAGCUUUUUUUCUUCGUUUGUACGGGAAUACGCGACGAAGCCGGUAACGGAAAGGAGGGUGGACAGUGCGUUUGGGAAACUCCGGAACCAUCACCUGAUGCGGCGCUGGACCAGGUGCCUCUCUAUUGCGGUACCACCGAGCGUCCAAGAAUCAGGCCGUCCAGGGGCGGCUGCUCCUCGUGUGCCAGCUCAUGCUGUGCCUCCUGCCUGAGCUGCAGGAGGCCAAAGUCUAGAAGAGCGAGUGGAGGCAGGGCGGGCUGGAGGUCUUCUAGCAUCACCUUCGCCUACCGAGGCACCAGCUGCUGCCGUGGCUGGAGCUCAGUUAGGGGCUCCCGGACACGGAGUACAGGUAACUGCUCCCCCUCCUGCGCCUGCGCCGAAGCCGCAACCGCUGCCGCGUCCUCUUCAGGCUACUCCUUGACCGCUCCAACUAACUCUAGCUCCACCUCCGCCUACCGAGGCACCAGCUGCUGCCGUGGCUGGAGCUCAGGUAAAGACUCCAGGAGGCGGAGCAGGGGUAGCCGCUCCCCCUACUGCACCUACGUCGCCGCCGACGUCGACGCUCCCGCGUCCUCUUCAGGCUGCUCCUCGAGCGCUCCUACUAAGUCCGCCUUCUUCUCCGUGAAGAUGACGUUGUCAUGUCGUAUGUUUCACUGCCUCCUCUCCAAAAGUCUCUUUCUCAACUCGGUAUGUACGCGGUCCAAGACUUCAUGCUCCUAGGCAACGCAGUCCUUCGUCGAGACUUCUGCCAAGGACAUCUACUUGAAUUCCUCUUCCGCGACUAAAGUGACCGGUUCCUUCCCUAGAAGUCAGGAAGCUUUUUACUUCUCCUAGUACGGAAAGACAACGUUAACGAGAAGACCAAAUUCGUUAGUAAGUCUACCCAAUUACGUGGUCGAACACUGUAGACACUGGCACUUUGUAGACACCAACCUUACCCUUUGGGUGAAGGGAGUCUUUAACUUAAGCCACGGAGGGCACAACUCUAGAUAUCCUUUCCUGCGACACCUCUUACCCGCUUAACGAAGUGUAAGAUGACAGCUCAAAUACCUAUACUUCGAGCAAACUAAGACCUAAAGUGACUAGUACAGACCUGUCUUACAAAAAGUUUGGAGAUACCCUCUACCUAAGUGAAUCUAGGUACGCUUCCUCAGAUACUAUUAGGGAACGACAUACUCUUUCCCACCUUGUUCUUUAAUCUAAUACGUUAACCAUAGAGUUUUCUACCUCAUGUACUAUAUUGUUUUGCGAUGUGGUCUUUCACCGUACUCCAAGAGAGAUCCGCCUGGUAAUGGAGGCUCCUAUGUCAAAGUCGAUAAGACUACUUAUAUUGAUCUUUCACAGCGUCACCUAACAGUUCACUACUUGAGGAUCGGAAUCUUUUGGCACUGUCCUUUCUCAGGCUCCUUGAAUCAUUUCGAUGGAUAGAACUUCAAUUGUUGUCGUAUAGAGAUGGACCUUCCGUUUCACCAAGACACCUUACCUCUCGUCGUUCCAGUCUUAACCCGGUUCGUCUGAGUGAGUCAACGAGCAGCACAGGAUAAGCCUCUACGCACCUACGAGUACAAAGUUUUUAUAUACUACGAGAAAGUCGAUAAGAAAGAGUAAAAACACUAUUAUUGUAGGGAUUACUUUCUUAGUAACUUCAAAAGCAGUGUAACUCCUCGAACUACGUUUUAGAAUUUCUACGGUUGAAGUUUUCGUCCUCUCAGUGUAAUCUAGUUUUUAACGUCGUUUAAAAACUCUAUGAAGGGAGACGACUUUCUAACGAAAGACGAUAAAGAAAUUUUCGUCUCAAUGUGUGACAACCUCUAGGUAGGCACCGAUGUCUACCUUUAGAUUAUGUAUGCAGGAAUCGUAAUGGUCAUCGUGAUCUACGUCAACUACUCUAUGAUUCAUUGAUAUUCUCGUUAUAGAAAAUGUGUUUUCCAGUAGUUAAGGGUUCUCCGUUAUCUGAGACAAGUCCAAGUCAGGAACGUUCGUCACUCGUCGAGGGUUAACCUUAACGUUGUCGUCGGAAACUGCCGUAAGCGAACAGGUUUACCCUUCUUGGACUACCUCGGUUUCCUACAACCGAUUACAUGUUCCACGUACCACCGGUUUGAACGCUCAACCUCAGUAUACUAAACUACAGUCGAUUACUACGAGGACUCUCCCUAGGUUACCUGACCCAGGAACUUCCCUCGUGUCUGGUUCCAAGAUGGACCUUAUGAUAACUACGAGCCUCAAGACAUUAGAAGCCGUCGGCAAAGACAUCCUUUAGUAAAUGACAACUGUUCUCUAUGUUUCGUUUACAUGAAGCCAAAGCCAAAGAUGCACCCUCUCUUAGAUCACGGUUAGGUUCCAAAGUUUAUCCUAGGUAGCUAAAGAUGCCCCUUUGUGUGUACCGGACUAGCGUCCACAAUUAAACACACAUGUUUUGGGUUGUUUUGGAACAACUUAGUACGUGGAUAGUACCGGUCAUGAUGUACGUUGGUUAUUAACAUGACUAAUAGAACCUACUAACAUUUAAGGCCAAGAUGAGACCUUCUCCAAGGAAAGGAAA
rnacentral:rRNA from 1 species